rnacentral:tmRNA from 1 species
GGGGGCGACCUGGUUUCGACGAGGGAAGGAAGCGCCGGACAGCACGCCGCGGAUCUCGAUCCCCGCGUCAAAACGAUCGGGAACACAAGAAAAGCCAACGACAACGUUGAGCUCGCUCUCGCUGCCUGAAGAAGGUUAGCGAAGCGCACCGGCCCCAGGUCUGCUCCUGCGAGGGGAUCCCGGUGAACCCGAUGGAGCUGGUUUGCGCCUGACCCAGCCCGAGGCGUGAACGAGACACAGGGCGGGGACUCGACGACGGAGUGUGUCCGUGGACGCCGUCGCCGAGUACAAAGCACGGACUAAGCGUGUAGCGGUACGUCGUGGACAUCUUUCGGACGUGGGUUCGAUCCCCACCGCCUCCACCA